CGCGUAGGGAUCUACCCAGUUGCGGGGGAUAGCCCGGUGAAAACCGGAUUAAUACCGCAUAAGACCUUCGGGUGAAAGGUUGCCUCUCCUUGGAAGCAAUCGCAAUUGGAUGAACCUGCGUCAGAUUAGCUAGUUGGUGGGGUAAAGGCCUACCAAGGCGACGAUCUGUAGCUGGUCUGAGAGGAUGAUCAGCCACACUGGGACUGAGACACGGCCCAGACUCCUACGGGAGGCAGCAGUGGGGAAUAUUGCGCAAUGGGGGAAACCCUGACGCAGCAAUACCGCGUGUGUGAAGAAGGC
rnacentral:rRNA from 1 species